CCCUGGUUAGCUCAGUUAGUAGAGCGCUCCACCUGUAAUGGAGAGGUCCCGGGUUCGAUACCCGGACCAGGUG
rfam:Ixodes scapularis strain Wikel colony gcontig_1108379515198, whole genome shotgun sequence.